UACGUAGGGUGCAAGCGUUAAUCGGAAUUACUGGGCGUAAAGCGUGCGCAGGCGGUGAUGUAAGACAGAUGUGAAAUCCCAGGGCUCAACCUUGGAACUGCAUUUGUGACUGCAUCGCUGGAGUGCGGCAGAGGGGAUGGAAUCCGCGUGUAGCAGUGAAAUGCGUAGAUAUGCGGAGGAACACCGAUGGCGAAGGCAAUCCCCUGGGCCUGCACUGACGCUCAUGCACGAAGCGUGG
rnacentral:rRNA from 1 species